rnacentral:rRNA from 1 species
GUCCACGCCGUAAACGAUGAGUGCUAGGUGCUAUGGGUAUUGACCCCCGUGGUGCCGUAGCUAACGCGUUAAGCACUCCGCCUGGGGAGUACGGCCGCAAGGCUAAAACUCAAAGGAAUUGACGGGGGCCCCGCACAAGCGGUGGAGCAUGUGGUUCAAUUCGACGCAACGCGCAGAACCUUACCUGGGUUAAAUCCACUCGAACCUUGUAGAGAUACAGGGGUGCUCUUCGGAGAGCGAGUGAGAAGGUGCUGCAUGGCUGUCGU